rnacentral:rRNA from 1 species
CCCUACGGGAGGCAGCAGUGAGGAAUAUUGGUCAAUGGGCGCGAGCCUGAACCAGCCAAGUCGCGUGAGGGAUGACGGUCCUACGGAUUGUAAACCUCUUUUGCCGGGGAGCAAGCGUGCGUUCGUGAACGCGCGUCGAGAGUACCGGGAGAAAAAGCAUCGGCUAACUCCGUGCCAGCAGCCGCGGUAAUACGGAGGAUGCGAGCGUUAUCCGGAUUUAUUGGGUUUAAAGGGUGCGUAGGCGGACUGUCAAGUCAGCGGUAAAAUACGGGGGCUCAACCUCCGCCCGCCGUUGAAACUGACGG